ensembl:snRNA U1 U1 spliceosomal RNA
CUAUUUACCUGGUAGGGGAAACACCAUAAACAUGAAGGUGGUUUUUUCAAGGGUGAGCUUCAUCUGUUGUAUCCCAGAUGUGUUUACCUCUGCGACUUCCCAAAUGUGGAGAACAUUACUGCAUGGUUUGUGAUAAUGGAGCACUGUGCUUUUGCUCUGUGCUGGU